rnacentral:rRNA from 1 species
AUUGAACGCUGGCGGCAGGCCUAACACAUGCAAGUCGAGCGGAUGAAGGGAGCUUGCUCCUGGAUUCAGCGGCGGACGGGUGAGUAAUGCCUAGGAAUCUGCCUGGUAGUGGGGGAUAACGUCCGGAAACGGGCGCUAAUACCGCAUACGUCCUGAGGGAGAAAGUGGGGGAUCUUCGGACCUCACGCUAUCAGAUGAGCCUAGGUCGGAUUAGCUAGUUGGUGGGGUAAAGGCCUACCAAGGCGACGAUCCGUAACUGGUCUGAGAGGAGGAUCAGUCACACUGGAACUGGGACACGGUCCAGACUCCUACGGGAGGCAGCAGUGGGGAAUAUUGGACAAAGGGCGAAAGCCUGAUCCAGCCAUGCCGCGUGUGUGAAGAAGGUCUUCGGAUUGUAAAGCACUUUAAGUUGGGAGGGAGGGCAGUAAGUUAAUACCUUGCUGUUUUGACGUUACCAACAGAAUAAGCACCGGCUAACUUCGUG